GACGGGGGAGGGGAGGAGCAGGAGGAAGAGGAAGGGGGAGAAGGAGAAAAGGGACAGAGCCCAGAAACAGACACAGAAAAGAGAAAGGGACAAGAGGGGAGGGGGGGAUGGAGAUGGAGAAUGAAGACAGUGGAUCAGGAAAAACAGUUUAAAUAAAACCAGGGGAGAUUAAAUUAACUGAUACAUACAUUCCAAGAGGUAGGUCGCAGGAGCAGCCAUAAAUACCAGCUCCCUAUCUCCUCUGCUCAAGACAGCAGAGAGAGCAAAAUAAAAUUAAAAGAUAUAACAAUAAAAAUUACAAAUGCAUCUUGAGGGCCCUGUACCCGAGGUCUGUAAUGGAGGCACCAAGUAGGGUGAGCCUGGAGCACAGCCCUCACUCAAGCCAGGGCAGCCUCAAGGUGGGAGCCAGAGGACCAUUUUCUUUUCCAUCUGGCUGGUCACUCUGUGUCUCCUAUUCAAUAGGACACUCUGUGUCUUCAUUCAAUAGACUUUCAGAGUGCCCGCUGCAUGCCCGUAAAGGAUUCAAAGGGUGAUGGUUACCACCAUGACAACUGAUUUGGUACUUUAUGAGGAUUUUCCUGGUCAUCACCACCCCUUGAGGGAGCUGGGUUUUACUCCCCUCAUUUUACAGGUGAGGAAAUUGAGGCUUGGAAAGGCUGUGAUUUGGCUCAAAAUGACUCGCUAGUUAACAAGUAGAGCAAGGAUUCGAACCCGGUCCCCCCGACUCCACACCCUUUCCACCAUGGCCCUCAAGAGGCUUACUUCUGCCAGUCUCAUCUGAAAAAAUGAACACGCUUUCUGACACAUACACAUCACAUCGCCGCCAUGCCAGAUGCGUGGCGAAUCUGAUAGGCUGUGAACAAACCGAGACAGCACCCUCUGAAGUGGGAGUGUCCAACUCUACAGAUUUCAAAGACCUUUUUUAGCAUCCAAAGUUACCUGACACCCCACCUGACACGCACUCACAAGCACACUAGUGGUCCUACUUUUAAAUAUCUAUAAAUUGAGAAAGUGCCUAAUGACCCAAAGCUACAAUAAAUCCAGGCACACUUUUAAAGGAAUUUUAACUUUACUCAUCAACAUAUUCUUGGGAAAAAAAUUAAAACGCAGACAAAAACAAGACAGAGCCUCUGUUGGGACAAUGGUCAACUGCCACACCUGGGGAUCAGGAGACCCCCUUGCAAGAACUCCAGGGCUCCUUCCCCGACCAGGGUCCACAGGCCAAGAGUCCAGGAGCUUCUAACUGAGAUGGGGCCUUUGAGCAGAAGGGUCAGGAGGUUGGUUAUGGGUUGGCAAGGUCAGCCCAGGAAGACUCCCUGAGGGAAGUGGAUCCUGGGAAGGGCUGGGAAGGGAAGCAGUGUGGCAGCACCAAGGUGCGUGUGGGGAAAGAGUUGGGAGGGAGGAGAGCAGAAUGACUACAGUACUCUGGCCCCAUUGCCACCAAAGGCCCCAAUUUACGCUUUUGUCAUGAUCUCCAAAUGGCAUUAUGUUGACAGCCACAGGGACACUCCAACAGGGUUGAAAGGAGAAGGUGCUUCUCCUACAGCUUUAAACUGGAGUCUCACCUGGCCGCACUGCCUGGAGUGCACCCCUCACUCAUCAGAGGAGCAGCGAAGACAGUGGAAGUCCUCUGGGUGCCAAGCACUGCUCAAGAUGCUGGGGCUACAGCGAAGAACAAAACGGGAUGAGAAAGCCUGCUGUCAAGGAGCUUAUCUUAAUUCAUAAGGUUCUCAGUCUUGAAAUGAGUUUGCGAGCCGCACAAUUAUAGGCAGUCUUUUAUGAGUUAAAAGUUUUAACUUGUGGAAUGUAAAUCAGAUGACACUUAUGCAACUCUGUUUGGCAUUUCUUCAUUUUUAAAUGUAUUGGAGCCUCAGAAACAGAAGAGGCCUUCGGGUCCCUGGCAGACUCUGAGCAGGACAGAGGAAUAGCCCUCGAUUAAAGGCAUCCAUCUAACAGUAGCCGCUACCCUCCUGGAUGCCAGAGGUUCCAGGGGUGACAGAGACACUGGGGGGAGGGCAUUGGCACCCACCAUCCUCUCCACUCACAGCUGACCCACCUCUUCCUCUGGCUUCUCACCUCCUCCCUCAACCAAGAUCAUAGCUCUGGAAUUAAGAGCCCCUGCUCUGAUUGAUAUAGUCUCCAGAAUACUUGCUCUUCCUACCACAGCCUCCCAACAAAAACAGAAUCCCUGGAGAGAGAAGGCCCAGGGAGAACGUGCAAGUAAUCCACUCAGCUCUGACUGCAUAGAUGCCGUCAUUGCAAAGUUCAGGAGACUUGAGUCUCUCUACCCCAGCACGGCCACUCACUGUACCACCCUGAGCAAAUGGUUUAGUCUCAUGGUGCCUCUGUUGCUUCACCUGUGAAAUGGAGCUAAAUAGUAGUAGCUACCCUAGCAGGGCUGUUGUGAAGAUAAAGCACAUAAUGCAUGUGUUCUGUAAAUGUUAACUAUUAUGAUUAUGCUCUCCCUCUGAGGCUCUACAGGACAUAAACUUUGGGGACGGGGGGAAAUUGGGGACAAAGCUAAAGAGUACGAAGCUGAUGCUGGCAGUCAGCAGAGAGCAAUUGCAAGAGGCCUGGACUGGGAGGAGGGAGACCGGGAUCUGCCUAUCCCUAAUUCUGUAAUGGCCUCCCUUUGAGCCUCAGUAUCCCCAUCUGUACAAUGAGGAGGUUGGACAUCUGGGCUGGAAGAGUCUCUGGUUCUAGGAAUUAGUGUUGGAAAGAAUGAGAGAGGGCCCAGGACAAAUCCAGUUCAGACACAGUCCAUGACCAAGGGUAGGAUGAGUUUGGAUGGGGUCCUGCUGGGAAAUAGCCAGGAGUCUCUCAGGCAGGUUCUCUUUGGAAAUCCUAGGCCCCAAAACUCAGCCAAGAUGACCCUACAGACCCAUCAAGACCACCGCCACUGGCAGUAAAAGCCCCAAUGCCUGAGGGGGGCAGGAGAUGGGGAGGGUGGCACCCUACCUGCUCACCUGCCAUCUUGGAAUCUGGUACCUGCUCUUGUCAUUAGCUCCACCCUCAGCUGGAUUUAAUGAAUCUGAGAAAAAUUAUGAAGUCCCAUAAAGCCACAAGUAUCAUAAAAAGUAUAAUAAAAUUGAGAAAAGCUAUUAAGUUAUAAAUACAACCAAUGCACGCAACAUCACUCAGUCGGGGAGGAAGUCGCUAUAAAAUAAAGUCAUUCCACAAGUGACUAAAUCUCUUAAUUCACAAGGCACACGCUCCCUUUACAGUGCCCAACCCCGUCUUCCCUGCCAGGAGUUUGCGUAACAGGAACUUUCCGUGGCAGGGAACGGUGAGUGGGGAGACAAAGAAAGAGACCAAAAUGAUGGAGAGAGAGA
rnacentral:lncRNA from 1 species